rnacentral:misc_RNA from 1 species
GAUGAAGAACGUAGCGAAAUGCGAUAAGUAAUGUGAAUUGCAGAAUUCAGUGAAUCAUCGAAUCUUUGAACGCACAUUGCGCCCGUCAGUAUUCUGGCGGGCAUGCCUGUUCGAGCGUCAUUACAACCCUCAGGCCCCCGGGCCUGGCGUUGGGGAUCGGCGGAGCCCCCCGUGGGCACACGCCGUCCCCCAAAUACAGUGGCGGUCCCGCCGCAGCUUCCAUCGCGUAGUAGCUAACACCUCGCGACUGGAGAGCGGCGCGGCCACGCCGUAAAACACCCAACUCUUCUGAAGUUGACCUCGAAUCAGGUAGGAAUACCCGCUGAACUUAAGCAUAUCAAUAAGCGGAGGA